GCCGGGCGCGGUGGCGCACGCCUGUAGUCCUAGCUACUCAGGAGGCUGAGGCAGGAGGAUCGCUUGAGUCCAGGAGUUCUGGGCUGCAGUGCGCUAUGCCGAUUGGGUGUCCACACUAAGUUCAGCAUCAAUAUGGUGACCUCCCAGGAGCAGGGAACCACCAGGUUGCCUAAGGAGGGGUGAACCGGCCCAGGUCGGAAACGGAGCAAGUCAAAAGAAAUGGUCUCUAAACUGAAGAGAACACCCACAGAGUGGGAGAAAAUAUUUGUCAGCCAUACAUCAGACAAAGGACGGAUAACCAGAAUAU
rnacentral:SRP_RNA from 1 species